GAUGAACGCUGGCGGCGUGCCUAAUACAUGCAAGUCGAGCGAACAGACGAGGAGCUUGCUCCUCUGACGUUAGCGGCGGACGGGUGAGUAACACGUGGAUAACCUACCUAUAAGACUGGGAUAACUUCGGGAAACCGGAGCUAAUACCGGAUAAUAUAUUGAACCGCAUGGUUCAAUAGUGAAAGACGGUUUUGCUGUCACUUAUAGAUGGAUCCGCGCCGCAUUAGCUAGUUGGUAAGGUAACGGCUUACCAAGGCGACGAUGCGUAGCCGACCUGAGAGGGUGAUCGGCCACACUGGAACUGAGACACGGUCCAGAAUCCUACGGGAGGCAGCAGUAGGGAAUCUUCCGCAAUGGGCGAAAGCCUGACGGAGCAACGCCGCGUGAGUGAUGAAGGUCUUCGGAUCGUAAAACUCUGUUAUUAGGGAAGAACAAAUGUGUAAGUAACUAUGCACGUCUUGAAGGUACCUAAGCAGAAAGCCACGGCUAACUACGU
rnacentral:rRNA from 1 species